CAAGUUGUGACCUCAAUCUUCUGCUCCAUAUACUGUGUUCCCGAAGGGCAAAAUUGUGCCACGUGGUAGCUGAUGACCUAAUUUGAGCAUCUUUCCCCCUCCUCACUCCUGGCCCAGUUUGAGAUCAGAGAUGAUAUAAAAAAAGGAAAAAAAAAAAAAAGUGAUGCUCAAAGCCCUAAUACUCAUAAAUAGGGUCCUUCAAUAUACUAAAACAGAGUUUCCCUUAAAUCUUACAGGAGUCAUGAUUUAUAGGAAAUCAAAAUAUGAACCAAAUUUGCCUUUGUAUCCCCUUUAUUAACAUGUUACCAUUUUGAUAAUGUAGCUGUAUUUAAACACAUAAAUUCAUUAUGCCUAUUAAUAAGACGCGAUUUCAAAGAAUCAACUUAAUCAGAAACCUUAAAAUUACAUGUUACCUUCUAUACAGAUUCAGAAGUCUGUCAACAAGAUAAUUACCAAUAUCGUGUCUGAUCCAACCUUCCUGGGACUCACUCUAAUGAAAUUGAAACCUCCAUUGGGGAAAACAGAAGUCGUGAAUCAAAGACAUGUGCUCACUUGAAAACCAACUGGAUAACACUGCUUGCCGUAUUUGUUCAUUAUUCUCCAAACCCUCCAUUUAAUAAAAUUUCAAAGUAGCCUAAUCAACUUACUUAUCAUCUUCUUGAAGAAAGUGGUUAGGUAAAGAGGAAUAGGCCCCCUUUCCAGGCUCUAGUCACUCAGGCAUAUAGACCCCCACGUCAAGACAAAACAAGGUUUUUGAGAAAACUUAACCAUUAAGACAUGGAUGAACCCACUACAUGCUGAAGACACGUGCAUCUUAAGGCCAAACAAACCAUUUACUGAAUGUGCUGGCUCUCCAAAUAUUAAAAUCCAGUAAGAGACAAGACCUACUAGAAGAGUUUGCCUUGGCAAAUGCAAAACUAUAUACACUGUGUUUCAUAAAUAACGUUGCCUAAUUUUUUGUGUACCUAUUGACCUAGUCAUUCACUCACCAAAUAUUUAUCAAAAUCUACCAUGAUGACUUUGCCUCGUGGCGGGAGCAUCAGUCCUGCCAUCUGGCGGGGGAGACGGGAGGCACAGAGGAAGGUGGUGUUGCACACAGAUGCACGAAGACGCCUGGAAUCUCAGCUAAGUCAUGUAGCUAUGGCAUUUAUUUACAUGGAACAUUUCAAGCUCAGCAAAGCAGUGUUUAGACUUUUAAAAUUACCCAAGCUGACUCUCUUUGAGGUGGAGGUGAUCAUGAGUGCAAGAGGCAAAAGGCAUGUUCCGGAAGCUAAGAAAAUAGCAAAGGUGUUGAUCCUGACAGAGCUGAGCUACUGAACGUCAGAACAGCUUUUUAGGUUGAAAAAUUCACAUUGUCAUUUCGGCUGGGAGACAGAGCAACACUAUUUGCCUCCCAACAUUGCAUUUACCUUCAGCAGCCAGCUCAGAUGGAGGGAAAGGAAGUCGAAGAUUUCGAAGCAACCCUUUGGCAGUCAGUCGUACGUGAAUGGUGGAUAAGGAGAAUUUGGGAGACAACAACAUGUCUUCAGAGCAGGUGAAAAGAUUUCGCAGAAGAAACAGCUUCCAGGCACGGUCACAUACUGUCUUUUUAAACUCGGUACUCUUCAAAGCCAAGAAAUAACAGCGGGAGAAAACAUGCCUACAUAGCAAAUGUCAUUCCACUGCACAUACACAAAAGAAAAAAAAAA